rnacentral:rRNA from 1 species
UGGGGAAUUUUGGACAAUGGGGGCAACCCUGAUCCAGCAAUGCCGCGUGUGUGAAGAAGGCCUUCGGGUUGUAAAGCACUUUUGUCCGGGAAGAAAUCGCACCUGAUAAUACCGGGUGUGGAUGACGGUACCGGAAGAAUAAGGACCGGCUAACUACGUGCCAGCAGCCGCGGUAAUACGUAGGGUCCAAGCGGUAAUCGGAAUUACUGGGCGUAAAGCGUGCGCAGGCGGUUGUGCAAGACCGAUGUGAACUCCCCGGGCUUAACCUGGGAAUUGCAUUGGUGACUGCACGGCUAGAGUGUGUCAGAGGGUGGUAGAAUUCCACGUGUACCAGUGAAAUGCGUAGAGAUGUGGAAGAAUACCGAUGGCGAAGGCAGCCCCCUGGGAUAACACUGACGCUCAUGCACGAAAGCGUGGGGAGCAAACAGG